ACAGAUUUUUUCGGAAUGAAGUUGCUUAUGACUGAGUGGCGGACGGGUGAGUAACGCGUGGGUAACCUGCCUUGUACUGGGGGAUAGCAGCUGGAAACGGCUGGUAAUACCGCAUAAGCGCACAAUGUUGCAUGACAUGGUGUGAAAAACUCCGGUGGUAUAAGAUGGACCCGCGUCUGAUUAGCUAGUUGGUGAGAUAACAGCCCACCAAGGCGACGAUCAGUAGCCGACCUGAGAGGGUGACCGGCCACAUUGGGACUGAGACACGGCCCAAACUCCUACGGGAGGCAGCAGUGGGGAAUAUUGCACAAUGGGGGAAACCCUGAUGCAGCGACGCCGCGUGAGCGAAGAAGUAUUUCGGUAUGUAAAGCUCUAUCAGCAGGGAAGAAGAAAUGACGGUACCUGACUAAGAAGCACCGGCUAAAUACGUGCCAGCAGCCGCGGUAAUACGUAUGGUGCAAGCGUUAUCCGGAUUUACUGGGUGUAAAGGGAGCGCAGGCGGAAGGCUAAGUCUGAUGUGAAAGCCCGGGGCUCAACCCCGGUACUGCAUUGGAAACUGGUCAUCUAGAGUGUCGGAGGGGUAAGUGGAAUUCCUAGUGUAGCGGUGAAAUGCGUAGAUAUUAGGAGGAACACCAGUGGCGAAGGCGGCUUACUGGAC
rnacentral:rRNA from 1 species